UAGAGGCGCACCAGAGGAAGAAUUUACCCUCCUGAUAAAACGCUACUAGCAUAUGAAAAUAUUCUGCCUCUCUGUUCCAACUAACUGGGCCAUCCAGUACAAGCGAAAAUAUUACAAGCCGGGAAAUUUUGUCUCCGAGCCCCGACAGUACCCAGUCUCCAGCUCCCUGUAGCAUGUGACGAUAUUGAACGUUGGACUAAUUGAUGGCGCUGGCAGGUUGAAGGUCCCACUGGGGACCUGUGGGAGCUGAGGAUCCAAUUUUCUGCCUGACAGACACCGGCAAAGAUGUCACCAUCCCACCACAACAGUUUUCCUGUGUUCUGUGUCCAUCCCCAUAAUGUCAGAUGAACCAAUAAAAUCUAAACUUGAGUCCUCAAGAUGUUUCCAAGGUAACCAGCAUUUCCUCCAGUUUUCUAAGCCCAUAUGGAGGAAAACUGUUCAGUAAAGUGAAAGAAAAAGAAGAGCAUCACCUUCAGUUUGCAUAUUUAAGGUAAAAUAUUCCCUAAUGGUGCCAUAAUUAAAGACUCACUCCAGUUAUUUUUUUUUCUUUUGCAUAAUCAUUUCCAGUAGUCUUUUAAUUAUGACUGUGCAGUUUUUAUCUUUUGUUGUUUAAGACAUAUUUUAUGCACAGUGGCAGUAGCUCAUUAUACUGUAUAUGCAAAUCUGGGUUGUGGGCGGGACUGUUGGCUCAGAACGACCCCGCCCCCUCCAUGUUGCUUGGAGCUCUGUUUGUGCGCAAGCUUAUAGCUUUAAGCUAGCAUUUGCGGUGCAAAAAUAACAAUGAGCAAUACCCCAACUAGCAAGGCCAAGUGGGCCCCAUAUGGUGUAAAAGUGGGCAGAAAAUGUGGGCCCCUAUUGGGUUUGUCCGCCGUUUUUCGUGGUGACCCCAUCGGUGUUUGUCCACAUUGGCUUAAGUGGGGAUUCAGUGGGUUAGCUUGCUAAGCUAGCCAGCUGCCCGGUGGACAGCAUAGCACACUAGCGAGCUCCACUGUAGCAUGCUAGUGAAAUCCUCUGUAGCUUAUUAGCGAGCUCUUCUGUCGCAAGCUAGCGGGCUCUGCUAUAGCGAUCUAGUGAGCUCUACUGUCUGGAUAGCAGCUGAUAGCAUAGCAAGCUAACCCACUAAGCAUCCACUUAAGUCAAUGUGGUAAUCGCACAGAAACUGCGGACAAACCCAAUUGGAGCCCACAUUUUCUGCCCACUUUUAAACCAUAUGGCACCCACUUGGCCUUGCUGGCUCGGUUCUGGAUCAAUCCAGUCGUACAGUUUUGAGCCAGAUGAGUGUUUAAAGCUCAUUGGAGUGGAGUGGAGUAGAGCGACUUUAGCACGCAUAUUUCAGUCUCUGCGUCAUUAGUUGGAGCUUUUUCUAGCAUCUGAUUUUAUGAUCCAAUUACUCAGUUUUAAUCAUCAAUUAUUUUGUAUAGCUCCUCCAUUAUGAGAAAAGGGCUACAAGAACAUGUUAAAUAAAAACACAAAAAAUACUAUUUUCAUUGGUCUUUCAAACUCAGAAUUCACCCGUUUCGAAAGUUGAUGGGUAGCAAUGCAAAUAACCGUUUAAUGAAAUCUUUAGAAACACCAACACCCAGGGUAUUUGUGGAACAACAUCACAGACACUCCACAUCUGUUGUGAAUACAUUUACUGUUCUGAGUUUAAAGUGAAGGACUGUUCAGUCUUAUUUUUGUACUUUUUCAGACAGGAAUUAGCUUAACACCAUAGCUGUUGAUAAUAAAAUCAUGUAUAUUCAUGAAAUGGUUUCACAACGGAUUUUUCUUUUUCUUUGUGAACCUGUGGUGCAGUGAGCGUUCCACAGGGUUUCAGAGCUACAGGUGGCAGGUUUGGUCAUUGCUGCCUUGCUAUGAGACAGAGAGGCACCUCGAAUUGCUGCACAAAUUUCUUCACCAUGGCUAAUCUUGAACAUUUUAGGCAGCAGAAAGUGAAGAAGGUUUUAAAAAAGAUUAAAAACCCACUCCAAUCAUCUUUUAAGUUACUUCAAAAGUGUUCUCGGUGGUCUUUUAGUUAUGACUAUGCAUUUAUUUUUUUCUAGAGGGUAAAGUAAGAGUUUAUGGCUCCUACUGGGUUGUGGUCAGUUAGAAAUUGACCUGAACUGCUCUUUAAGGGUCAAAGGUCGCAGACCCCUGAUUUAUCAAUCUUCCGAACCUGCCGUCAUCCUCGCUAGAGCCAACCCAAUGGCUGUUUGGCGAAGGCCGGGUCCACCCAGAGCAGGGCCACAGGCUCACAUCUAGGGGGUAUUUUAGAGACAUCAAUUAACAUACGAAUCAUGCUUUUGGACUAUGGGGGGAAACCGGAGAUCCCGGACAAAACCCCAAGUAUGCACCAGGAGAACAUCCAAACACAAAAAGAACCGAUUUACUGUAAACCAGAGCCUUUGUAAACUACAUUUACAACUAUUUGAUAAAGAAUAUUGCAUUCAAACUUUACAGCGUAUAUGUGGCAUAC